UAGAAGCUUAUUGAGAUUGGGGAAAUUUGAUUUGGCAUGGGUUUUCUAAGAACAAGUUUUGAAGGCUGCUAUCACACUGGAAGUCUGGUUCUGGGUAUGAUUUUGGGUAAGAAGAAAGAGAGAGAGAAGAGAGAAAAGGAGAGAGAAAGAAUAAAAAAAGAAAAGACAGAAGGGUUUGGAUUUGUCAAAUUUGACAAAUUGGUUUGAUAUGUCAAAUCUAUUGGAUUUGACAGAUCUAUUGGAGUUGAGUUGCUAUGUCAUUUCCUACCGUUGCCUUGUCCAUCUAGCAAAAGACUUAUCCGUUGGAAAUGGUUUUAGUCAUUUUGACUCAAGGUAUGGCUCAAAAGCCAUUUUGACACCCUUUUGAUUUGGGUUGGAGAUGGUGAAACAAAAGCCCCUUAGUCAUUUUGGCUUUUGACUCCAUUGUUGGAGAUGCCCUAAUGCACUUCGCUCCAAAAGCUCCGAUACCCCCAGCUGCCUUUCAGUAUGAGAAGCCUCCAUCAAGGUCAACAUCUACUCUUGCGAUAUCAGGCUUAUCCAUCACAAUCAAUAUCACCAAAAACUGGAUUAAUUUGGUUCCCACCAAACCGAUCGGAAGCCAGACGACCGGAACCAGCGGUCUCCGAAAGAAGUCAAUUCAAUCAUCAACGGCUAAAUGGAUACAAUAGUUCAUCAAUUUCAUACAAGUGAAGACAAAGAAAGUUUCUUUAUGAUCAGAACCCAGAGCCCAUUUUCCGGAUUGUUUUCAUUUGCUACCGCUUUCGCUUGAUCUUUG